rnacentral:rRNA from 1 species
AUGAGGCGUGAGGAGGGUGAGACGAGUAGUAGCAUCCCCCGGCAUCCCCGCUCGCCGGUGGUGGGGCCCCUUGAAGAUGAUGACCUUCUCUUGGAGAUCCUCCUUCGUCUGCCCCCGCAGCCGUCGUCUCUCCCUCGUGCCUCCGCCGUUUGCAGGCGCUGGCGCCUUCUCAUCUCCGAGCCAGGCUUCUCCCGCCGCUUCCGGCGCUACCACCGCGGCAACCUUCCCAUAAUUGGUUUCUACGACCGAAAUCCUCCAUACCUCUCCUUCGUACCUGCUCUGGAGGGCCCUGAUCGUAUUCCACCCGGGCGAUUGUCCUGGCAGUGUCAGCGUGAAGAAGGACCGGACUUGUCCACCUUCGGAUGUCGCGAUGGCCUCGUACUAGUCCAUGUCGAGCACCUCGAACCGCUAAAGCGCCAUGUUCUGGUGUGGGACCCUAUCACUGGUGAGCAGCACAACCCUGGGAUUCCCCCGGGGUUCGACACAGGGAAACACUUCAAUGGAGCGGUGUUUCGGUCUGCUGGAGAUGCUGACCACUUCCAGGUGGUCUUGGUAGGCAACGGCGACAAUCAACUACCGGUUGCUAGUGUUUACUCGUCGGAGACCGACGUAUGGAGUAACCUUUUUUCGACAUCGUUGCCACUGAAGUAUUAUACAGACCCUUUUCCGUCUUUUAUCGGACUAUCCCUUGAACCCGCUGUGCUGGUUAGGAAUUCCCUACACUGGCUGCUUGGAGUGGGCUCGGUUGGAAUUCUCGAGUUUGAUUUGGAGAGGCACAACCUUGUCGUGAUAGGUGUGCCGGUGCAUGUGGGUGCUGGGUGUCACAUUGGGAGCAAUGACCGAUUCUCGAUUAUACGAGCAGAAGAUGGUGGGUUGGGUUUUCUCUCUCUAUCAGACUUCAACGUCCAAUUAUGGAAGAGGAAGACAGAAUAUGAUGGUGUUGCUUCAUGGGUGAUGGAAAAAAUCAUUGAACUGGACAAACUACUGAAAAUUCCCCUGGAUCGAAAGAACCAAAGAAAAAAUACUACUAGGGUGAUGGGAUUUGCCGAGGACAACAAUACGGUGUUCAUGUGGACAAUAAUCGGCAUCAUCACGAUCCAUCUCGAGUCAUUGCAGUUCAAGACGCUUCCCGGAUCUAGGAUUUUUUCUUACUAUUAUCCAUUUGAAAGUGUCUGGUGCAUGUAA